UACGAGGGGGGCAAGCGUUGUUCGGAAUUAUUGGGCGUAAAGGGUGCGUAGGCGGUUUGAUAAGUCUGAUGUGAAAUCUCUGGGCUCAACCCAGAGUCUGCAUCGGAAACUGUCGGGCUUGAGUAUGGGAGAGGUGAGUGGAAUUUCCGGUGUAGCGGUGAAAUGCGUAGAUAUUGGGAAGAACACCGGUGGCGAAGGCGGCUCUCUGGACCGUAACUGACGCUGAGGCGCGAAAGCGUGGGGAGCAAACAGG
rnacentral:rRNA from 1 species